AACGAACGCUGGCGGCAUGCCUAACACAUGCAAGUCGAACGAGACCUUCGGGUCUAGUGGCGCACGGGUGCGUAACGCGUGGGAACCUGCCCUUAGGUUCGGAAUAACUCCCCGAAAGGGGUGCUAAUACCGGAUAAUGUCUUCGGACCAAAGAUUUAUUGCCUUUGGAUGGGCCCGCGUUGGAUUAGCUGGUUGGUAGGGUAAAAGCCUACCAAGGCGACGAUCCAUAGCUGGUCUGAGAGGAUGAUCAGCCACACUGGGACUGAGACACGGCCCAGACUCCUACGGGAGGCAGCAGUGGGGAAUAUUGGACAAUGGGCGAAAGCCUGAUCCAGCAAUGCCGCGUGAGUGAUGAAGGCCUUAGGGUUGUAAAGCUCUUUUACCCGGGAUGAUAAUGACAGUACCGGGAGAAUAAGCUCCGGCUAACUCCGUG
rnacentral:rRNA from 1 species